GUCACUAUGGAAUAGAAGCGCCAUUCUUCCCUUGGCACCGAUAUCGCCAUUAUGCCUGGUAAUCUCUUAAACUUCAGAGAUGUUGAUCCAUUAGGUAAAAAGGUUAUCUGGGCUUGAAGCUUCGAUAAUAGAUCUCGUCCUAGAAGUUGAAUUGGACACUCUGGCAUAUGUAGGAACUGAUGCUUCACCACAUGGCCUCCCAG